rnacentral:lncRNA from 1 species
UUACUCUGCAGCUAGGUUUCUGAAAACUCCUGUGAUUCAUACACGAACCAUAAAUGAUUUGAAAAAAUUCAUCACAUACUAUUGAAGAGCAUUAAAAUUCCUAACAGAUUUAAUAGUACAUUAUAGCUUUUCAAUUCAAUAACUACACGAAAAAAAAGGUAAACUUACAAGAUCAAAAUAACUAGGUCGUCCCGGAAGCCAGAAAAACUUCUCCAGGCAAGGUUAUUCAACAAAUCCCGCCCGUGGCGCGGCUGUAGUUUCCUAUCAGCUACGUUUUUAAGUUAGUGAAGUCAUCUUUUGGACCUUGAAACGUUGAAACUAACGCUGAAACUGCCAUGUGGCCGUAUUAGCAGCACUGGCCGUAUAACCCUCAGUUACCUUACUAUGGCAAGAUUGCGAUUGGUAAAUUUAUAUUUGCUCAGCUGAAGCUCGGGAAUUCUGUUAUUAUUGCAGUUUGAUCUAUAUGACAAGCGAAUUACGUUGAUUUUUCUACAACAAUCAUAAAAUCGAUAAAUUCAGUUGAUUAGAAAAAAUGAAGAUCACAAUCCUAUUAUGUUUUUUCAUAAUGUGUUCAAUUUUAUCUGGAAGGAGCGAAAACAUGGGAAAUGAAUCGAUUGUCACCGAUGGAACAUUAAGGGCCAGUGAAACGGAUCAGAUUUUACAGGCAUUAGAGAAACUAGAGAACAAAGUAAAAAACUUUGCAAAAUCUGCAAUUCAGUUUGGUCUUCCUUUCUUCAUGAGAACUGCUGAAGAAGCGAAUUUGUCUCAUUCGUGUAAUAAAACUGG